rnacentral:lncRNA from 1 species
GUAACUCUUAGUUGAAAUAUCUUUGUAAAACAACAGGGCAAUUUAUUUACGACCUAAAGCUAAGGUAAUUGGUGUUAAUCAACAGUGUGUUUGACACCACAGCUGUCAAGUGAAACCAUGCACUUAAUGGGUCACUUAAUUUGACAGUUUACAUAGCUAGAUGAACUGCAUGUUUAUGGAAAAAUUACGAAUUUGCCGGUAUUUCAAAGGAAUAUUACUUAUGUCAUGAAAAUCAAUCUCAAGGCUAAGAAAUACGGGUGAAAUCGGGUCAUUUUUGGAAUUUCCGGGUUAUUUCAAUGACCCGGCGGGUGAUCUGGGUGAUCCCUCAGAAUUGUGAAAAUCUCGGGUCACACCCGCAGAAUCCGGGUCAGUUGACAGGUAUG